GUCUAUGGCCACACCACCCUGAGUGCAUCGAAUCUCGGAAGCAAAGCAGGGUCAGGCCUGGUUAGUUCUUGGAUGGAGACUGCCUGGGAAUACCAGGUGCUGUAGGCU
rnacentral:rRNA from 1 species